AUGCUUGGAAAAAGUUGUGUUGAAGCCCUGAUCCAACCCGAGCCAUCAACCCAUGGCUUUGCCUGCUUGCCAUACACUUAUGAUAAUCGUUGUGCUGGCUGGGCAAAUGUAAAAGCCCGCCUUGAUCGGGCUAUUGCAAAUAACUCCUGGCGGGAUCUAUUCUCGGAGGCCAAGGUGGAGCACCUGGUUGCACCAAGUUCGGAUCACUUGGCGAUCCUGCUCCGAUGCGUCAUGGAGGAGGCUUCACCACCGGCCGGCAGAAGAUGUCGGAAAUAUGAGGUGAUGUGGGGGCGUGACCCGGCUCCCUCAGAGAGGAGAUGCUCUGGAUGCAAAGAUACCGAGUCGCGUGGUUGCGGGAGGGCGACCACAACACACAAUUCUUUCAUUGGAAAGCGGUUUGGUGGGCACGAAAAAAAUCAUAUCAAGUCACUUGUUGAUGAUGUAGGAGUGGUGCACAAGGACCAUGAGUCUAUGGCUGCUAUGGCAACGUCUUAUUUUUCCAAUCUGUUUUCUGCCGACGCCUUGCUAUAUGUGGACCCAAUGAUUAACUUAAUUAACUCCCGUGUUACUGAAGGCAUGAAUGAUGGUCUGUGUGCAGAUUUUACGGUCAAGGAGAUUGCGGAUGCUCUAUUCCAACUUGGCCCUCUCAAAGCUCCGGGGCUGGAUGGGUUCCUUGCCAGAUUUUUUCAGAGAAAUUGGUCCGUCACGAGAGAGCAAGUUAUUGCAGGAGUGAAGGAAUUUUUUCGGACAGGGGUCAUGCCUGAUGGAGUGAAUGACACUUCCAUUGUCCUCAUCCCAAAGAUGACACCAUGCUAUUCUUUAAAGCAGAAGAGUACAUGA
rnacentral:rRNA from 1 species